CUCCAAUUCUCUCAGAUUUUUCUGUCAGAUCGUUAAGAUAUCCUACUCAAAUACUUGGAAUACGUAUACGUGCGCCUACUAAAGUAGGGUGCGAAUGGAGAGCUUACCUACAACGACGAAAUCAGAGAGGCGAUGGAGAUCGAAGCCUCUGCAGAGCUCGAAACCCUCUCUAGUCUUGGCCUUCUUCUCUUGCGUGGCUUGGCUCUACGUUGCCGGACGAUUGUGGCAAGAUGCGGAGAACAGAACAUUGCUAUCUAAUCUUCUUAAGAUGAAUGCAGCCC
rnacentral:misc_RNA from 1 species